GGGGAAUUUUGCGCAAUGGGGGAAACCCUGACGCAGCAACGCCGCGUGGAGGAUGAAGUCCCUUGGGACGUACACUCCUUUCGACCGGGACGAUUAUGACGGUACCGGUGGAAGAAGCCCCGGCUAACUUCGUGCCAGCAGCCGCGGUAAUACGAGGGGGGCGAGCGUUGUUCGGAAUUAUUGGGCGUAAAGGGCGCGUAGGCGGUGCGGUAAGUCACCUGUGAAAACUCUGGGCUCAACUCAGAGCCUGCAGGCGAAACUGCCGUGCUGGAGUGUGGGAGAGGUGCGUGGAAUUCCCGGUGUAGCGGUGAAAUGCGUAGAUAUCUGGAGGAAUACCGGUGGCGAAGGCGGCAUCCUGGACCGACAUUGACGCUGAUGAGCGAAAGCUAGGGGAGCAAAC
rnacentral:rRNA from 1 species